GGGUGUAAAAACAACUUUGACCAGCAGCUGGAGAAUAACUAGUCUCGCCGUUGCUUGGUAACGCAAGUUCUGAAAGGUAGCUAUUGGGUAGCUAGCGUUCUGGCUAACAAAGUUGUUUAGCUAGCUCUUACAUAGAUUUUUCUUAGCCUAUUCCAUUUACUUGUCUGGCUUGCCCUCCCAUGAGCCAGUCACAAGUCCACCAGAGGGAGCACAACAAAAGGUUGGAGAGUGCAGAUCUCCACUUUCCAGGGUUCAACUCUGUUGACCAUAAUCCUAGUGACAAGCAACACAAGGGAGUCAAGCUCAGCCCAGAUCAAUCUUUUGGCCAGCUGCUCCAGUGCAUCAUGGGACUCUGGCUCCCUAUUGAUGUGGAUCCCCAAUCCCCAACACAUCCUUCAGAGCCACGCCCAAAAUAG
rnacentral:lncRNA from 13 species